rnacentral:lncRNA from 1 species
AAACAAGCCCUCCGUACUAAUCUAGCACAAUCCAUGCAUGCUUCCACAUAUUUUGGCAGGGGAAAGUAGGAGUCCACUGACAAUGGCUUGGGAUAUUGCUAGCCAUCGCUCCUGAAUUCAUACAUUUUUUAUCACUGGCCGGUAACUUCUUUCCACUUCAGUGGCUAUUGUAGGUGUUUGGCUGAGCACAGAGAUAAGUCCUCGCAUGUGCACAACCAGAUGGGAAGCUGACUCCACAGCACGUUAGAGGAGGAGUGAAUAUGACUUAGAAAAGGCUUUUUUAAAGGUAGACUGAUUUGAUUUGAGGUAUUGAUCUAAAUCAGAAAUACCAACUAAACUCAUCUGACAACAACUGAGCAAUGGACGAGAAAUGCGGAUUUGUAUUCGUGCACUUGAGAGAGACCAUGAGUUCUGUAUCUGGAGCUGUUAGCUCUCCAGGGCUGAAAUGCUGAUCUCCACUAGGAACAAAACAUGAAAACUGAGAAGAAAGGAAGAAAAAGCAGGAAAAGAGGAGACAUUGUUGUAACUAUUAUAUUU